rnacentral:rRNA from 1 species
AUACGGAGGAUGCGAGCGUUAUCCGGAUUUAUUGGGUUUAAAGGGAGCGUAGGUGGGAUAUUAAGUCAGCUGUGAAAGUUUGGGGCUCAACCUUAAAAUUGCAGUUGAUACUGGUUUCCUUGAGUACGGUACAGGUGGGCGGAAUUCGUGGUGUAGCGGUGAAAUGCUUAGAUAUCACGAAGAACUCCGAUCGCGAAGGCAGCUCGCCUAGACGGAACUGACACUGAUGCUCGAAAGUGCGGGAAUCAAACAGGAUUAGAUGCCCUGGUAGUCCGCACCGUAAACCAUGCACACUCGCUUUUUGCGAUCCACUGUAAGCGGCCAAGCGAAAGCGUUAAGUAUUCCCCCUGGGGAGUACGCCGGCAACGGGGAAACUCAAAGGAAUCGACGGGU